AAGCCUACCUUCUUUUCGGGGGCUGCCUGCGUCUCGCCCAGCCGCGUGAAAGAGGAUACGAAACCAACACCGUACUGGCAUCAGAUCUCGCCUUCUGCAAAAUCCUGAAGCGGACAAACCACAGAAAUUCCUUCCUUCGUUAAAGGCCAAAUGACCCAAACCCCGUAGCCGUACAUAACUAGGUAAAAAGUAAAAGACAUUUCUUUCUGCCUUUGUUUUCCUGUUCGCUCUUCUCCCUCCUCUUUUCGGCUGCCGUCCCCUGUGACUCUUAUCCUCUCUCUGGUUGCGAUUCUUCCUCGUCGUGCUUUAGUUCCAGCUGAUGCUCGGGAUGUUUUGCGCGAGGGCUUUGAGUUCCAUUAUUAUGGAAUAACAAUGAUAAUAUCUUUUUUGGUCUAUCCCUUCUGAUGGGAAUAAAUACUUUGUUGAUUUAUUGUUGUAUGCCUGUGUAUUCAGUUUCGUGCCUUGUCUUGAGUGUUUGAGUAAAGAGCCUUCUAGUUGCUUUUUUGUUUCUCCCUUUAGCUAAAAUCUCGCUUUGUUAAACCUGCUUAAUGAAUAAGAAAACCUUUUUUUAGUUUUUUUUAUAGUAAUUUGAUUGAUGAACUCAAAGGCUAUUGUAUUAUGUAAGAAACAAAUUAUUAUUGAUUGUUAUCGAUGAAUUUAUUUUAUAAAAUUUAGUAGCAUGUUAUUUUUGUUAUUUAUUUUUGUGUAAUAUUAUAGGCUCUUUCUUUAUUUUUUUAAGCAGGUCAGGUUGCGACAGAUAUCCGUCAAAAUAAUUGGUUUCGGGUAAUUAACUGUUAUAAAUAAUCGGGAUCAAAUAGGUUUUGGUUAGUAGGAUAAGAAAUUUAAACAAUUUUGUUUUAGUUUUGAGUACCCUAUUUUUAAGCAGUUUUGUGUUUUGGUUUUGAAUACCCUAUUUCUAAACAGUUUCAGUUUUAGAUAGCCCAAAUUAAGUGAACAUUUGAACCACUACCAUCCACCAAACCACUUACUCUGCACCAUUGCUGUAACUUUUUUCCAGCUGCCUAUCUAUUCUAUUGUGUCACUUGGAUGCUAUGGUUUAUUAGUGGUUGGAGUUGGUCUAAUGCGAUUCCCAAAUUGUCCCCAAGAAGCAUUGCUGCUGCAGCAGGUAUUUCAUUUCUCAUUUUUUAUAACUGAUCAGCUGAGGAGACUUUUAGGUAAUUAUUAUUUUUAAGUGUUAAAUUUACUAAAUGGGUAAUUAGUGAUGAAUUCCUUUGCCUUUUCCUUUCCUUUCCUUUUGUUCUCCCUUAUGCUUUUGAGCAGGCUGGUAUUUGCUAAUAUGGUUGGGACUUGAAUUUUUUUUUAUCUGCUAAACAGAAAUCUGAGACUGUAUUUCUGCAGUUCAUAAACACUUUUUUAAAAAGUUUUAAUAAAUUUGUGGUGAGAAUUAUCAUAAUUUGUGUUACUAUGAGAUUGAAUUUGUUGGUGUGAUUUGUUUUUUGCGGUUCCAUAAAUAUGUGUUAUAUUCUAUAGGAUAUUGCCGAGGCCAAGGUCUUUCUGAAUCAAAAGGGGGUUGAUGUUGGUUUUGCAUGAUGGUUGCUUUUUAAUUUCUCUUCUUGGUUCCAAGUUUUAGAGCAAAAAUGCUGUGAGCUUUUCCAAUGGAUUGCUGUUUUGGUCCACGGAGGAGAAUUACAGAUUGGGAACUAACUUCAAAGCUUACAUAACUUUCGUAGAAGAAUUUUGUCUAACAAUAUUUGAGGAAAAUGUUGUAAAAGAUAUGAUUCACCUUUUUUGUUUUUCUGGAUCCCAAAGUUAGGCUACAUCCAAUUUUUUGGUGUUUAUCAUAGCUGUUAAGUAGUCUCCCCCUUAAUUUAGCCUAUUGAAUGGGUGGAACGUAUUAGCUUGAGAGUGAGAAUGCUGUGCGGAUGUAAUUUUUUUUUUAUUUCAUCAAAACAUUUUAAUGGAGUCUUGGACAAAGUUUAUGUAUCUCCAUCUUUCAGUUA